AGUAACACGUGGGCAAUCUGCCCUGCACUCUGGGACAAGCCCUGGAAACGGGGUCUAAUACCGGAUACUGACCCGCUUGGGCAUCCAAGCGGUUCGAAAGCUCCGGCGGUGCAGGAUGAGCCCGCGGCCUAUCAGCUUGUUGGUGAGGUAAUGGCUCACCAAGGCGACGACGGGUAGCCGGCCUGAGAGGGCGACCGGCCACACUGGGACUGAGACACGGCCCAGACUCCUACGGGAGGCAGCAGUGGGGAAUAUUGCACAAUGGGCGAAAGCCUGAUGCAGCGACGCCGCGUGAGGGAUGACGGCCUUCGGGUUGUAAACCUCUUUCAGCAGGGAAGAAGCGAAAGUGACGGUACCUGCAGAAGAAGCGCCGGCUAACUACGUGCCAGCAGCCGCGGUAAUACGUAGGGCGCGAGCGUUGUCCGGAAUUAUUGGGCGUAAAGAGCUCGUAGGCGGCUUGUCACGUCGGUUGUGAAAGCCCGGGGCUUAACCCCGGGUCUGCAGUCGAUACGGGCAGGCUAGAGUUCGGUAGGGGAGAUCGGAAUUCCUGGUGUAGCGGUGAAAUGCGCAGAUAUCAGGAGGAACACCGGUGGCGAAGGCGGAUCUCUGGGCCGAUACUGACGCUGAGGAGCGAAAGCGUGGGGAGCGAACAGGAUUAGAUACCCUGGUAGUCCACGCCGUAAACGGUGGGCACUAGGUGUGGGCGACAUUCCACGUCGUCCGUGCCGCAGCUAACGCAUUAAGUGCCCCGCCUGGGGAGUACGGCCGCAAGGCUAAAACUCAAAGGAAUUGAC
rnacentral:rRNA from 1 species